GCCAAUAAAAACACAACGCUUAGUCACUCAUCUGCCAACCACACAGCAGGAAAUGACAUCUUGAGAGAAGAAGGUGUGUCUGUUUGUCUUUUUGUGUUCGUCACUCAGUCACUGGUCAACAUGACAUGUUGCAAUAAAGAUAAGCCGGAGGUACGUUCUGUGCUAUCUGCCCAACCUGCACCUUCAUCACACUUCUACCAUUAGCCAGAGUAACACUCAUGUCUGUCCUGACCCUGAAUGGUCUUUAAAACACACCCGGCCGCAAACCACUCAGCAUGAUUAUAAUGCAGCAGCUGUUCCCAGAUCUGGCAUCAGUUGAAGUUCUAUUUUUUUCAAGAAUACGAUGACUCAUAAAAGAUGACCAAAAUCCCAAAAUGCACGACAUCAGACUCAAGGUCAUACAUGGAAGGACAAUCAAUGAGGAUCCUGGCUUGAGCUAAAGGAAACCUGCCAGGACUUGGCUGCGAGCGUGUUUGGAUUUUAGGGAGGGGCAACAAUGCACCACUAUAACGAGCCAUUACUACACGGCGGGAUUUGGUGUAAACAACACGCCUUCAUAUUGUUUGUGACCUUAACAUCUGAACAUCUGAGCGUUGCUGCAGAACGUUUUGUCCUUAGCUGACUGGAACGGCACAUGGUGUGGUCUCCUGCUGGUGUAGCCCAUCUGUUUAAGGUUUGACGUGUUGUGAGUUCAGAGAUAUUCUCCUGCGUAUCUUGGUGGUAAUUGCAUUACAAGCUUAUAUUGUGUUAUUGUAGGGUCUUUACCUUAGAAUAUAAAGUGGCUUGAGGCCACUUUAUAUUCUAUAUAUAAUAAAACUGAAUUUAAUUGAAUCAACAAGUAUUUAUUUGAGUUACUCUUGCCUUCCCAUCAGUUCAAACCAGUCUGGGAAUUCUCCUCUGACAUCAAGAAGGCUCUUGAUGCAGCUCAUGGUAUAUUUUCUUUACAGAACUUUCUCUGUAAAGUCUAGGGAUAGUUAUG